ACGGAGGGAGCUAGCGUUGUUCGUCAUUACUGGGCUUAAAGCGCACGUAGGCGGCUUUGUAAGUCAGAGGUGAAAUCCUGGAGCUCAACUCCAGAACUGCCUUUGAGACUGCAUCGCUUGAAUCCAGGAGAGGUGAGUGGAAUUCCGAGUGUAGGGGUGAAAUUCGUUGAUAUUCGGAGGAACACCAGUGGCGAAGGCGGCUCACUGGAUUGGUAUUGACGCUGAGGUGCGAAAGCGUGGGGAGUAAACAG
rnacentral:rRNA from 1 species